AAAAAAAAAAAAAAAAAGCUUUACUCUCUCUCCGUCCUACAGAUGAGUGGAGGUCCAACAGCAUCUGGUAGGCACACACCAUGUGGUAGGCACACACGAGCUCAAGUCUUGGAUACUUGGGCUGGUUCUUCCUGGUAAGGUCCUCUGCUUUUAGUAGUUUUAUGGUGGUAGUCAGCCUGAAGACUGAAGGGGCUGGGGACAGGUAGGAAGUGUUUGUGCCUAUGGAGAUAAGUGACAUUAAGUCUAAACAUUACACAAGAGCACUCAAUUCAUUCCAAUAUUAUCUCUUCCAGAUCUGGAACACAGUGGCCUGUCUGUUUUAAGUCCUGCACACAGAUGGUUGAGAAGUACAGCCUCACUAGGCAGUGAUGGGGCACACCUUUAAUCCCAGUAGAGGCAGGUGAUGCAUUCAGAUAUUUACAAGCAAGAGUGGAGAGAGCUGCCCUUCUCCUCGAUGUCUCUGUUCAUCUGGUUCCUUCUGAAGAUAGCCAAUAUGGACAUAUUUCCUGCAUCUUAUUUUAUUUACAGAUGUACCUUACAGUGAACGUUAGGCAGCAGUGAUGGGGACAAUGAGAGGGCAUGUGUGGCGUGGAGCUGACAUCCUGAGGACCCUAGAGAGCAGUGAACCUGCCCGCCCAGAGACUUCGAUGCUGCGGGAGCCCCGUGGAAAAGUCUUCCUGUUGUUAUUCUUUCUAUGACGUCAUGCCUGAGAUGGGGAGAAUUACAGGCCGAGAAUGCCAAGAUAAUGGUGCAGGUUUCUAGUGCGGGUCGCUGCAGCUUCGGUGGGCAGCUGGGAUUGCUCUGUGACAGCCCAUAGUCUGCUCAACGAGUCUGCAGUCCACAGGAAACACCACUGCUCUUAGUGAGCUAACCUUCCCCACGGCGUC